rnacentral:sRNA from 1 species
AGAAUGGCCCCCGAUGCUUGGUUACUGACAGGAUGCAGCUUUGGGACAGGGGAGAUGACCAAGCAUUGUGCAAAAUAUCCCAUUGUAUGAAGCACUUGGUGGAAAGGUCAUGGCCUACAGUACUGAGUAGCCACCUCCGUCUGCAGAAUCAUAGGAUUCUGUCAUGCCUUCCCAAGAGCCUCCAGUAGACGACAAGAACGAGGACGCCGACCUUCCUUCCGAGGAGACAGAUGGAAUUGCUUACAUUUCCUCAUCCCGGAAACAUGACAGCAUUAAAGACGACUCCGAGGACCUUAAGCCAGUUAUCGAUGGGAUGGAUGGAAUCAAAAUCUCUCAGGGGCUUGGGCUGCAGGACUUCGACCUAAUCAGAGUCAUCGGGCGUGGGAGCUACGCCAAGGUUCUCCUGGUGCGGUUGAAGAAGAAUGACCAAAUCUACGCCAUGAAAGUGGUGAAGAAAGAGCUGGUGCAUGAUGACGAGGAUAUUGACUGGGUACAGACAGAGAAGCACGUGUUUGAGCAGGCAUCCAGCAACCCCUUCCUGGUCGGAUUACACUCCUGCUUCCAGACGACAAGUCGGUAAGAAAAAGAAGGGUGUUUCUGAUAUUCUGCAGAUUUCAGAUUUGAACUGCACAGAAGCUGAGUCUGGUGUGAUGUGUCAACUGUCACCUGUAAGGUUCUCCCAGUUGCUGUACGGGUGUUUUCAGGCCAGCAGACUCUCUUUGUUGUUCUCCUUGGUUGGUGUCAUAUGAAGUACAUUUCAUGAUCUGAAGUUAUUUAAUUCCAUUUAUGAAAUACUUACUGGAGGUAUCCCACUGAGUGCAGGCAUUGGGUCAGGUGCUGGGGCUACAAAAGUAAGCAAAAGAGGUGGAUUUCUGUGCUUAUUAAAAUAUGUACAGCUUCACCUUCAAGCUUUAUAUAUAUUGGAAUUCUGUGGCUUUGAAUGCGUUUGAAAGCUGGUGAUCUAGGAUAUUAAAUGUAUGCUCUGUUUAGUUUUGGGGGCCAGUUGACUUUGACCUACCUGAUUUGUUUAUUUGAAGAGUUAUUGAGUAUGUUCUGCAUUGAGUCCUCAAGACCAUCCCCAGGUUCGAUGAUUGGCUGGGACUCCUGGGAUCAGUUAUAUGGCCGCACUGGGGGCCACAGCUGGCAUACUGCACUGGGGAGAUAAAGGAGGCUUGGCCAAGGAAAAAGGCACACGGGGAAAAUUCCAGA